ACUUUGAUGGUGUGGUGGUAGCACGCCUCACCGGUAUGGAUUGAACGCGGGUUCGACUCCCACUCGAAGUC